rnacentral:rRNA from 1 species
CAGGGAAUAUUGCACAAUGGGCGAAAGCCUGAUGCAGCGACGCCGCGUGCGGGAUGAAGGCCUUCGGGUUGUAAACCGCUUUCAGCAGGGAAGAAAUUGACGGUACCUGCAGAAGAAGGCCCGGCCAACUACGUGCCAGCAGCCGCGGUAAUACGUAGGGGCCAAGCGUUGUCCGGAUUUAUUGGGCGUAAAGGGCUCGUAGGCGGUUUCGUAAGUCGAUCGUGAAAUGUCGGGGCUCAACCCCGAGACUGCGGUCGAAACUGCGAUGACUAGUGUCCGGUAGAGGUGAGUGGAAUUCUCGGUGUAGCGGUGAAAUGCGCAGAUAUCGAGAGGAACACCAUUAGCGAAGGCGGCUCACUGGGCCGGUACAGACGCUGAGGAGCGAAAGCGUGGGGAGCAAACAGGAUUAGAUACCCCCGUAGUCC